AUAAAUUUAUUAACAUAGGUUAAAAUUUUAUAUCUGCAACUAUAUAUUAUAUUUUAUUUAUUUUGAAACUCUCAAUAAUAUAUUUUUAAAUGUUUAUAUACAAAAAUAUAAUAGUAAAUAAUAAUCUUUGGUUCAUAUGCUAUUUAAAAAUAUGUUAUUAGAAAACUAUGAAAUUUUAGUAAUUUAUUUAAAAUAUUAAUGAAAAAUCAAAUUUUAAUUAUAAUUUUUCUUUUUAAUUUUAACAAAAUCUGUUGAAAAAAAUUAGAAAAUAUUACCAAAAUUUUUAAUAUUUUUUAUAAAAUAAUGUAUUAAUAUAGUAACAAAAAACAAAUUUAAAAUUCAUGUAAUCUUCCAAACGUGGUAAAAUUUACACAAUAUAUAAUAACAAAAUUCUUGUAAUAAUAAUGCCAAAUAAGAAAUGUAAAAAAUAAUACUAUAGAUUUACACAAUAUAUAAUAACAAAAUGAAAAUUAUAUAUCUAAAAUCUUUAUAAUAAUAUAAAAUAUAUUUAUAAAAUAAAAAAAUAUCUGCACGAAUGUGCGGGAUAAAAUCUAGUUAUAUUUUAUUUCUUAAUCGCUUAAGGAACUUCUUAAAGCUAAAAUAGAUGGCUCAUCUAAUCUAUUAAUUUAGAGUUCUAUUUUUCUCUACCAUUAAUAAGUCAUAGUAGGACUAUUUAAAGAAUUAGUUAAUAUGACAUAUUUGAUUAUUUACAUUAAUAAUGAAUCAACUAUAAAUUUGAAUUUUAUUUUAAAGUAUAAUAAAAUCUGUUGAAGAAGAAUCUAACAAAAUCUUACUUCAAAUUUUAAAUAUUUUUAUAAAAUAACAUAUUAAUUAAUUUUGUAAUUAGUAAUUAUAAAUUAAUGUUAGCUAAAAUUUUAUUGUAAAACAAGAAAAUGAAAAUUAUAUACGAUUUAUUUUAUAAAUUCUAUAAUUAUAUUAUGUAUUAUAUAAAAAUAGAAGUGCUAUAUGAAUUAAAUAUGACAAAAUUUUAUUUUUUUAAGCUGUUUCAUUUAAAUAAAUUAUCAUUCAUCGUUAAAAUGGGUUAACAUUAAACUAUAUAAUAUUUUUAUACAAACAUAAAUUUAUUAACAUAGGUUAAAAUUUUAUAUCUGCAACUAUAUAUUAUCUUUUUAUUUAUUUUGAAACUCUUAACAAUAUAUUUUUUAAAUUUUUAUAUACAAAAAUAUAAUAGUAUAUAAUAACCUUUAGUUCAUAUACUAUUUAAAAAUAUGUAAUUAGAAAACUAUGAAAUUUUAGUAAUUCAUAUUAAUGAAAAAUCAAAUUUAAAUAGAAAUUUCUUUUUAAUUUUAACAAAAUCUGUUGAAACAAAUUUAGAAAAUAUUACCAAAAUUUCAAUAUUUUUUAUAAAAUAAUGUAUUAAUAUAGUAACAAAGAGAAAUUCAAAAUUCAUGUAAUCUUCCAAACGUGGUAAGAUUUACGCAAUAUAUAAUAACAAAAUUCAUGUAAUUAAUAAUACCGAAUAAGAAAUAUAAAAAUAAUAUUAUAGAUUUACACAAUAUAUAAUAAUAAAAUGGAAAUUAUAUAUUUAAAAUAUUUAUAAUAAUAUAAAAUAUAUUUAUAAAAUGAAAAAUAUCCGCACGAAUGUGCGGUUUAAAAUCUAAUUUAACAGUAUAAGGAACUUCUUUUCAAAUUUGAACUCAUAACAAGAUUUCAAUAUUUUAAGAUUUGAAACUAGCUUAGUCGUAAGUAAAAACAUUCCUAAUCACAAUAAAUAUUUUUUUGCGUGCAUAUGACUUUGUUUUGUAUAUUAAGGGCAUGACUGGUUUCUCCGCUACCAUCCGCAAACGCAGUUUUUGCGGUUUGUAGUGGUGGUUGGCGUUUUGCAACAAUCACUCAAACUGCUCUAAAUCGCUUCAAACCGCUCUUAACUUCUUAAUUUAAAAGCUGAUUCUAGCUAGCUUUUGCAGUUGCGGGCGGUUGCGGGAUGGUAAAUUUUUUUUUCUAAAAACAAUAUAACUACAAAAAUAAAAAUAAAAAUAAAAAUUUUAAACUGAAAUCAUAGAAAUACUAAAAUAUAUCUAUUUUAUUAUAUCUUAUAUUACAAAUUUUAAAAUAAAAAUAUUUUCAAUAAUUUUUUAAAUUUUUAAAAUAUAAUUUAAAAACAUAAUUUUAUAUUCAUCAUAAUAUUAUGAUGUUUGAUAUUUUAAUAAUUAUAUAAACUAUAAAUAUUGUUAAUUUAUUAUUUAGGCGUUAUUUUAUUUGGUGGUAAACCAGUCAUAAGUAUCGCGCAAACACAUCAAUUUCAAACCGCAGUACCAAUCGUACAAAUCUCUUAAAACCGCAACCACUCGCAUCCGCAAAUUCCCGCAACCACUGCGGUUACACCAGUCAGACCCUAAGUGUAAUCAAAACAACUACACAUAAAAUUCUUAUCCGCUUUAUGCAUAAUUUUUACUCCCAUAUGUUUCAUAUAUUAAGUGUCAUUCUAGCAUUUUUUUCUUAUUACAUAAAAAAUGUCAUUUUGAACUUCCAGUGCAAAAUUUAUUUACUUUUCAGAUAAAAUUAACUGCAAAGUUCAUUGAUCUUAUAAAUAAUUUGAUUUAUCUCAAAUUCUAUUGGUCAAACAUGUGUAACUAAUAUAAAUUGAAUAGCAUUUCAUUCAUUUUUUUAAUCUGUGUGAAAAAUGUCAAAGUGACACUAAACUUUUGCUACAACAACUCUACAUCUUUAUCUUUUUUGUUUGUUCAUGUUUUACUUUUUUUCCAUAAAAUAAUUAUUAAAGUUCUUUAGAAAUUGGUUCAACUUUGAAUGUAAAAAUUUAGCUAUACAAUUUUAGUUGUACGUAAGUUGGUUGUAGCUGUACAGUUGUUCCUGUAAUUUGUUUUUGCAGAGAUUUUUACUGCAGCUAAAUUUGUUGUAACUGGAAGCUAUAGGCUAUAAAUAAUUUAGAAUAAAAUAUGUGAUGUAUAUAUAAAAUAAUUAUUUUUACCAAUUAAAAUAAUUUAUAUUAAUAUUUUCUAUAAAUUAUUAAAGUUUAUCAAUACUAUUAAAAGGGAAAGAGUUCUAAAAGAUCUACUUAUAUAAGGUUGUUGGACCUUUUCCUUUUAACCUACAAAUUAAACUAAAUAUAUCUAAACUAUUAAUAUGUCAUAUAUUUUCUAUUUUUCUCUUAUAUCCUAUUAUUAAUUAUCCUAUUUUUGUGGAACCAUUAUUUUCAAAAAAAUAUCCUAAUAAUAAUGCCUACUAUCUAGGAUUAAUAUUUUGAAUCGUUACUAAAUUAGUGAUUACAUACCUUACGAUUUCAAAUAUGAUAAAACACUACUUUAUUAAACAAAGUUGACAUAUCCACUUCGAUUCAUGCAUAAGAGCUCAUCGAACUGGUAUAUGCAAAUCAUGCAUUGCUCUUUUCUUCCACCUACAAAUAAUAAACACGAACAACCAACUUUAUAGCUGCAACAUUAAAAUGUUUUUUUUUUGUAACUUAAAAUGUUAUUAGUAAUCAUUCGAAUUGUCAUAUAAGAAAGUUUAAUGACAAAAUUAAACAAUACUUUUAGUAUACACAAAUCAGUAGAAAAAAGUUUUAGCCACAUAUGUUAUUAUUUAACUUAUAAUUACUCAAAAUUAUAGUAUAACAAUGUACUACAAUAAUAUGACUAUAACCCAUCAGGAUCAUAUAUAUCGAAUUUGACCACAUGAUAUAUCAUUUUUUAAGAAAUUAAAUUAAUUUAUUUGAGACCACGGGUUUUUUUUUAACUUUGUUAGAUUCAAAUCAUUUUUUAUAAAGACUACUUCGAAUAUAGUGGGCUCCUGGAGUUUUUAUCGGAUUAUAUCAGAUUUUUAAUUAACAUUUUUCUUAAAUCCGAACCAGAUUAUAUACUGGGUACCGGGUAUACUGUUUGAUCACGGCUCCGAGUCGGAUAGGAAAACGCUUCUUAAAAUUCAAAUAUCAUAACAAAAACUCUUAAAUUAUUUUUUCUAAUAAAAUUUUAUAAAUUCAUGCAAAUUUUACCAAAAUUGUCAACAAAAAAAGAUACUCGUGCUUUGAAAACGGGUCAAAAAAGUAGUACCUUUGAAAUUGAAUAUAGAUAAAAAUAGUAUAUAUUGAUGGUUAUAACUAUGAUACAAAUAUGUAACAAUAGAAACUCAUUUUCAAUUUAAAAUAAGCAACUCAUAUCGUUACUACAUUUCAAUAUUGAAAACACAUUGUUCUUCAAUAUAGAAUAUAUAUAUACUAUUAAAUCACACAUAUAAACUUUAAUCUACUUCAAAUAAAUACCACACCUUGAUUUUUUUUUUGAAAAACAUAAAUUUGUAAGAUUUGAAACAAAAGAUAAAAGUAGUUUUCCAAUCAAUAUUAGAUCAAUAGGUGAAAAAACAAACCCGCACUUUUAAGUGCGGGUCAAAAUCUAGUAAUGAUUUAAAAUGUGAUAUGUAAAUAAUAUUUAUGUUAUUUAAAAUAUUUAAUAAUUUAAAACACCCAAAAUUAAACUAAAAUAUUUAUGGAUUUUUUAUUAUUAUGUUCUAGUUUAUUUGAUAUCAUAAAUAGUAUUUUUCAUUUUACAGAUUGUAGUAUCUUCCUACAGCAAAAUAAAAUACAGCUACAAUAACAAAAACUACAAAAUAAAUUAUAUGGCUACAUUUAUACAUUAGAGUCGAAAAUAAUAGUAACCACAACAACUAUAAUCUUUUUACAAAAAAAAUCAACCAUAAUCUAAUCUAUCAUAAAAUCAAAUAAUAUAUUUUACUAGUUUCUAAUAUUUAUUUUUCAUAAAUUAAUAUUUUAAAAGUAAAUGCUUGUAAAACACAUAUAUUUGUGUUGUUUUGUGUUUAUAUUUAAGAUAAAAAGAUCCAUGAAUCCGAAGAUCCAAACCGAACACAGCCUAAAAACUAGUAUCGAACCAAUUAAAUCCGAACAAAAAAAUACCUGAAGGGAUCCAAAAAUAUAUAUAUCCUAAGAACUAAUCCAAACCGGGAAUUAAGUGGGGUUCAAUGUAUGUUAAUAAAAUUAUAUUUUCAAAGAAUAUUAAUUAGAUUUAAAAUAAUUUAAAUACCUAAAAUUAUAAUUAUAAAUGUCAAGUUAUCAAUUAUUUUAAGACAUAAAUAAUCAAAAUACCCAAGAAGUUCAAUUAUCUGAAAAUUAUUAGCUAUAGUUGUCAAAAUUUAACCAUUCUUAUGUUUAAGAUAUCUUAAUUUGAUCCAAAUGUGGAUGAAACCGAACUAAAGCAAAUUCUAAAAUAUCGAAUGAAUAUGUCCCUAAUAUCGUAUUAUCUGGAACCGAAGUAUCUGAUCUGAAACUGAAUAGAUAUUUGAAUUCUUAUGCAUGCCUAAAUAAGAUUAGUUUAACUGAAGUUAGAAACAGUAAAUUUCUUUUCAUAAUCUAACAAUACUAAAAGGGGAAUAUCCUCCACUCUAAAGCUAUCCACGUCACUAUAAAAAAUCAACCAAUAGUGAAGCUUCGUUUUGCCACGUCAGACCGUCUUAGAAGUUAUAAUUGGACAGCAUUCAUGUGGGCUGAUAAAAAUCGAAGUGGCCCAUUUUAAACCAUUAUUUUCUUUCGAGCCCGAUGUUAGCUGCAGACAAUGUUCUCCGACUCUUCCACUCCAUCAUCAUUGUUUUCAAUUCCUGAAACUCACCGUUACUGUGAAGUCAUCAAGCCCCACUUUUAAUCAUUGAAUUAUGGUCUUUACUUCUCUCUUCAUGAGAGAUGAGAUAUGCAGUGAUUCGUUCAGUAGUCGCAAGGUUGAAACUCUCCAAAUUCUCCCUUCUCACACUAUAAAUAACAGGAGUCACUCUCUCAACCACUACACUCCAAACACCGUUGAUAUUAUUCACCACCUCCAUUUCACAUAGAUUGACGACACCUACCACCGCCAUCUCUCCCAAUCCGAGUAGAACCUCAGUGAAUAAUUGUUCCGAAGAGCUUGACUUGGUCUUGCGAUGCUGUUGAUAGAUGACCAGGUAUACAAACUACCUACUAUAAUCAUUUUCAAUCGUUGUAUCUCAUACUGUACAAACCAAAUUGUUUAGAUGUUCCAGAAUUGAAUCUUAAAGAGAUUCUGAUUGCAUUUCUCUCUUAUGGAAUCCCAAUCACUCACUGUUACCAUUUCAGAACAUUUUGAGCAGCUUAAACUGCCCCAGGAGAACCGCUGAUUCUCCACAUGUAGAUAUUAUCUUCUCUUGCUCUUGCUAAAAUUUUGAGAUUUUAGCUAUUUACUCAUGUCUAGCUGCUACUAAAUAUUUACUUUCUGUUUCGAACCUAAAAUGCCGUUGUUUUUCUUUCUAUCAGGAGCUGAUGCAAUUCUCCACUCAAGAAAGUGAUAUAGCAGCUGCUGCAAAUGAAGCUCUUAAAAGAUUCAGAGACAAAAGCAAGAAACGGUUUUGUUCUGGUGGACAUGGAAUUCAGCUACCUCACAGUUGAGUUAUUCAGAAAACUACACCUUGAACCCAAGAAAUAGAAACCAAACCCGAGAAAUGCCCCAUCACAAAACACAGACAUCUACUCCAAUAAUCACUUCAGGUAGAUUGGAUCCAACGUAAGUGCCUACAUAAACAUGCUCUUUAACUCACUGAGAAACUAUCUUUCGAAAACUGUUAUUUACUACAAAGUUAGAGAAGCUAUGAUAUCCCUCAACUUCUUCUACGCUCAUGUCGACAGGAAAGAGGUAAAAAAAUAUUACUACACUUUCAUAUUGAAGAUGGAAAGCACUUUCUAAUGAUUCAAUAAAAUAAAUGGUGCAGAAGGAGAAGCCGGGGACGAUGUUGGACGAAGACACACAGCUCAUGGAACAAAGAGGAACCUAAUCCAAACGGCUCGAUCUUUACAAACUAGGUUGAGAUGUAUCGAUCCUGUGCCUUAGAGAUAUAAUGGGUUAUAAGAUGGCAGCACUCCUCUCUCCAUUAUUAACACGAAGAACGAAGAGCACGUUUGUUGUGACUCCUCCAGCUAAUGUCACAGAGACUCUUAUAAGUAAGAACCCCAUACUAUGUUCUAAAAGUCAAUCUUUACCAUAACAUUAAUGCAUUGUGGCUUGAUGAAGUACUUUCCUGCAGAGGAGAUCCCGGUUCAGUACGGUGGUAACGAAAGAGAUGAUGAUACCAAAUUCUCCAAUGAAGCUGAUUCUCCAAUGAAGCUGUUUCUGAAGUUGUCGCUAAGCCUGGGUCAUCUGUAAACAUAGAGAUCCCAGCUUCUGAGGUAAUAAUUGAAAAAACAAACUCCUUUCUGUGUUCGGGAGUUGUAAAAGAUCUAUAUCAAUGUUUUUGUUUAGUCCUUUUCCUUUUAAAUCAGAGUUUAUUUCCAGAUUGUUGAAGACUUAAUUUUUUUUUUUGCAUGAGUUCACUGAUAAACCCGAAACAGUUGCCAAUAAAUUCCCUCUAGGGACAAUUAUGCUAAGUGUUAUCAUUAAUCUUUUUUUUGGACAAAUUUACCAUUCAUCUAUUAUUCACUAAUCAAUUCUUGAGCUUGAGACUAGAGAUUUGUUUCUUUCUUUGAUACAGGAACAAGGUGAAACCAAAGCCUCUGAAAAUGAUACUCAAUCUUCAAAAGUAUUUGUCAAAUUAAUUACCGGCGAAAUGACAUGGGACGGGAAGUCUAAAUAAUUUAGCAACGCGUGUCCCUGAGCUUCGGCUGUUUCUGUCCAUUGAAUACAUGGCCAGAGGAUGUAAUUCUUGCUGCCUUUCUGGGGCACAUGGCAACCAUUGCAGCAUUUUUUUUUAAUCUUUAUUUUAGGUUUCUAAUAACUAUCCGCUAAGUUUCGUGAUUUUUAAGCUUUUAGCUCUCUCU